GGUGAGUAACACGUGGGUAACCUGCCUGUAAGACUGGGAUAACUCCGGGAAACCGGGGCUAAUACCGGAUGGUUGUUUGAACCGCAUGGUUCAGACAUAAAAGGUGGCUUCGGCUACCACUUACAGAUGGACCCGCGGCGCAUUAGCUAGUUGGUGAGGUAACGGCUCACCAAGGCAACGAUGCGUAGCCGACCUGAGAGGGUGAUCGGCCACACUGGGACUGAGACACGGCCCAGACUCCUACGGGAGGCAGCAGUAGGGAAUCUUCCGCAAUGGACGAAAGUCUGACGGAGCAACGCCGCGUGAGUGAUGAAGGUUUUCGGAUCGUAAAGCUCUGUUGUUAGGGAAGAACAAGUGCCGUUCAAAUAGGGCGGCACCUUGACGGUACCUAACCAGAAAGCCACGGCUAACUACGUGCCAGCAGCCGCGGUAAUACGUAGGUGGCAAGCGUUGUCCGGAAUUAUUGGGCGUAAAGGGCUCGCAGGCGGUUUCUUAAGUCUGAUGUGAAAGCCCCCGGCUCAACCGGGGAGGGUCAUUGGAAACUGGGGAACUUGAGUGCAGAAGAGGAGAGUGGAAUUCCACGUGUAGCGGUGAAAUGCGUAGAGAUGUGGAGGAACACCAGUGGCGAAGGCGACUCUCUGGUCUGUAACUGACGCUGAGGAGCGAAAGCGUGGGGAGCGAACAGGAUUAG
rnacentral:rRNA from 1 species